GAGAGCCGGAUGCGGGGCCAACUCGCACGUCCGGUUCGGGAGGGCGGCGUGGAGAAACGGGCUGGGAGCAAUCCCAGU
rnacentral:ncRNA from 1 species